ACCGGGUACGUUCCUCGGAUCGACAGGUCUGGGGAGGAAAGGUGGCGCAAGCUGCCGCUCUUGGAGGGGCUCGCGGCCUAUCAGCUAGUUGGCGGGGUAACGGCCCACCAAGGCGAUGACGGGUAGCUGGUCUGAGAGGACGACCAGUCACACGGGGACUGAGACACGGCCCCGACUCCUACGGGAGGCAGCAGUGGGGAAUUUUCCGCAAUGGGCGAAAGCCUGACGGAGUGACGCCGCGUGUGGGACGAAGGCCUUCGGGUCGUAAACCACUGUCAGUGGGAAAGAAGGGUGUCGGCGUUAAUACCGCCGGCAUUUGACGGUACCUGCAGAGGAAGCCCCGGCUAACUCUGUGCCAGCAGCCGCGGUAAGACAGAGGGGGCAAGCGUUGCUCGGAAUUACUGGGCGUAAAGGGCGUAUAGGCGGGAUGGCAAGUCGGU
rnacentral:rRNA from 1 species